AGGCAGCACUCGUGGUCUGGAUCGAACCAGGGUCUCCGGCGUUGCCAAAUUCAGUUGCAGAUUAGUGGGCAAUCUGAAAGGGGUGAAAAUUGAAGUGCACACGAUUUAUUUCGUGCAGCUGGGAGAGCCA